GCCAUGCCGCGUGCAGGAAGAAUGCCCUAUGGGUAGUAAACUGCUUUUAUACGGGAAGAAAAAGAGCUACGUGUAGCUUACUGACGGUACCGUAAGAAUAAGGACCGGCUAACUCCGUGCCAGCAGCCGCGGUAAUACGGAGGGUCCGAGCGUUAUCCGGAAUUAUUGGGUUUAAAGGGUCCGUAGGCGGGCGAUUAAGUCAGUGGUGAAAGUCUGCAGCUCAACUGUAGAAUUGCCUUUGAUACUGGUCGUCUUGAGUUAUAGUGAAGUUGCCGGAAUAUGUAGUGUAGCGGUGAAAUGCAUAGAUAUUACAUAGAACACCGAUUGCGAAGGCAGGUGACUAACUAUAUACUGACGCUGAUGGACGAAAGCGUGGGGAGCGAACAGGAUUAGAUACCCUGGUAGUCCACGCCGUAAACGAUGGAUACUAGCUGUCCGGGACCUUGAGUCCUGGGCGGCCAAGCGAAAGUGAUAAGUAUCCCACCUGGGGAGUACGUUCGCAAGAAUGAAACUCAAAGGAAUUGACGGGGGCCCGCACAAGCGGUGGAGCAUGUGGUUUAAUUCGAUGAUACGCGAGGAACCUUACCAGGGCUUAAAUGCAUUUUGACAGGGGUAGAGAUACCUUUUCCUUCGGGCAAUUUGCAAGGUGCUGCAUGGUUGUCGUCAGCUCGUGCCGUGAGGUGUCAGGUUAAGUCCUAUAACGAGCGCAACCCCUACCGUUAGUUGCCAGCAUGUCAUGAUGGGGACUCUAACGGGACUGCCGGUGCAAACCGUGAGGAAGGUGGGGAUGACGUCAAAUCAUCACGGCCCUUACGUCCUGGGCCACACACGUGCUACAAUGGCAGGUACAGAGAGCAGCCACGUCGCAAGGCGGAGCGAAUCUACAAAACCUGUCACAGUUCGGAUCGGGGUCUGCAACUCGACCCCGUGAAGCUGGAAUCGCUAGUAAUCGGAUAUCAGCCAUGAUCCGGUGAAUACGUUCCCGGGCCUUGUACACACCGCCCGUCAAGCCAUGGAAGCCGGGAGUGCCUGAAGUCCGUCACCGUAAGGAGCGGCC
rnacentral:rRNA from 1 species